UGGCUAUGCUUAAAAAAAAGGGGGGAUGGUUGCAUGCAGGCUGGAUGUUGCAUCAUGUGAGAUGUUGCAAAUGAACUUUUUCUUGCCUGAUGAGCAGCUGAGCCAGAAGAGGUUGAGCCACACUGAUGAAAUACACCACAUGGAUUGCCCGCUCUUCAACUUUUCUAAAGUGGUAAAGAGAUUUUCAGUUUGACUGCACAACAUGACAUGCCAAGGUAUUUUCAUGUACUACUCAGGUAUCGGGUACUCGUGGAGGCUGCCGAUUCAAGCUACUAAUACCCAAGGAGCUGAGCCAGAAGAAGUUGAGACACACUGAUGAAACACACCACAUGGAUCGCCCGCUCUUCAAUUUUUCAGAUGUGGAAAACGUAUUGAUCAGUUUGAUUGCAAAAUUUUACAUGCCAAGGUAUGUUUGUGUACUCGGUACAUCUUGGACUGGUCACCAGCCAAUGGCAGAUUACAUAACAAAAUAUUGUUUCAUGAUUUCAUCUGUG